GGGGUUGUGGCUUAGUGGUAGAGCGCUUGCCUAGCAUGUGUGAGGCACUGGGUUCAAUUCUCAACACCA
rnacentral:tRNA from 1 species